GCGGAUUUGUGCUAGUCGUACUGUCAAACCACUGAACGGUUUCAUUUUUCGUCAGCUUCCCAAGCUGAAUGUCGGGGGUUCGAUUCCCCCCGCCCGCUCCA
rnacentral:tRNA from 1 species